rnacentral:rRNA from 1 species
UACGAAGGGGGCUAGCGUUGCUCGGAAUCACUGGGCGUAAAGGGUGCGUAGGCGGGUCUUUAAGUCAGGGGUGAAAUCCUGGAGCUCAACUCCAGAACUGCCUUUGAUACUGAGGAUCUUGAGUUCGGGAGAGGUGAGUGGAACUGCGAGUGUAGAGGUGAAAUUCGUAGAUAUUCGGAAGAACACCAGUGGCGAAGGCGACUCACUGGACAUGUAUUGACGCUGAGGUGCGAAAGCGUGGGGAGCAAACAGG